rnacentral:lncRNA from 1 species
CAAAUGGAAGAGAUGCACAGGGCAGGGUGAGGAGAGAGGGGCACAGAGCUUCCUUCCAUGCCUGCUCCAGCUCACCACCGCCCCCCUACCUCGAUGUUCUGGAAUUUCUCUGAACCUUAUUGUUUGGGGGUUUUUAUAUCAGUUUUCAUUACACAGGCAUGAUUGAUUAAAUUAUUGUCCAUUGGUAAUAAACUCAAUUUCUAGCCCCUUUCCUCUCUCUAGAGGUGGUGGGGAGGGUGGGACAAAAGGUCCAACCCUCUAAUCACAUGGUUGGUUCUUCUGCCUGCCAACCCCCAUCCUAAGGCUAUCCCAGGGCCUGCCAAGUUUGAGUUUUGACACAUGUAUACAUUUGUGCACCUACCACCCCGAUCAAGCUAUAGGACAUUUCCAUUAUCCUGAAAAGUUCUUUUAGGCCUCUUUAUUGUCAAUACCACCCCCAACCACCAGACACAAGUAACUACUGACCUAUUUUCUGUCACUAUGGGUUAGUUUUCCUUUUUCUAAAAUAUCACAUAAAAGGAAUUAUGCAGCAUGUAUUCUUUUGUGUCUGGCUUCCUUCACUCAGCAUUGUUUUUGAGAUCCACACUCUGUAUAUCAAUAGUCUGUUGUCUUUUAUUAUGAAAUAGUCUUCUAUUGUAAUGAUAUACCACAAUUUGUUUAACCAUUCAUUUGUUUAUGGACAUUUGGGUUGUUUCUAGUUUUAGGAUAUUAUGAAUAAAGCUACUAUGAGCAUUUGUGUAUAAGUCUCUGAAUGGAUGUAUGUUUUUAUUUCUCAUUGGUAUAUAUGUAGGAAUAGAAUUGACAGAUACAUGGCAGUGUAAAUAAGUAAGGAACUGUUCAACUGUUUUCUAAAGUGGUUGUACCAUUCUACAUUUGUCUCAGCAAUAUAUGAGAGAGUUUCAGUGGCUCCAUAACCUCACCCAUGACAUUCUCAGUUAUUUGGUUUUAUUUUUAGCCAUUCUAUGGGUAUGUAAAAAUAUAUCAAUGUGGCUUUAACUUUAUGGCUGAAAAUGUUGAACAUCUUUCUAUGCAUAUAUUGAUCAUUCUCAUCUUUUUAAAAUGUCAAAUGACUUACCCAAUUUUAAAACUGUGUUGUCUUCAUUAUCAAGUUGUAAAUGUUCUUUAUAUAUUCUGGAUACAGGUCUUUCAUCAGAUAAAAGUAACACAAACAACAAAUCUGUUGGGGCUUGUUUUAUUUUUUAAAGGUGACUUUUGAAAUAUGGAAUGUUUAAUAUUAUUCUUUCAUAUUUUAUGUGAUAUCUAAGAAAUCUUUGUCUGCUCCAGGUUUAAGAAGACAUUUUCCUAUGUUUUGUUGUAAACAUUUUAUAAUUUUUAUUUUUACAUUUAGGUCUCUAUUCUAUUUAUAAUUAGUCUUGCAUUUACUGUGAGGUAAGAGUUGAAGUUCAUGCUUUUUUCACAUAGGCAUCCAGUGGUUCAAGCACUAUUUAAUGAAAAAUCUUUUCUACUUUUAAUUACUUUGGCACAUUAAAUUUCUUUAAUAAAUACAGUGCUAUUAGGUUUCCCUGUUUCUUUUUAUGUUAAUUUUGGUAGCUUAUGUCUUUCAAUAAAUUUGCCCAUUUCCUCUAAGUUAUUCAAUUUGUUGCAUGCAUUUGUUCAUAAUAGUCCACUUUUAUCUUUUUAAUGCCUGCAGUGAUGUCUCCUCUUUCAUUCCUGAAUUUAGUAACUCAUAUCCUUUUUUUCUUGGUCUAAUUAGAAACAACAAUUUUUCAAAGAAUCUGCUUUUGGUUUCAUUGGUUUUUUUCCUGUUAAUUAAAUAUUUUCAAAUUUCAUUUAUUUUAUUCAUAUUUUUAUUUCUUACCUUCUACUUACUUACUUUGGGUUCAAUUUGUUCUUCUGUUUUUUUAGCUUCUUAAUGUAAAAUUUUGUAUCAUUAAUUUUAGACUUUUAUUCCUUUCUAAUGUAAGCAUUUAAAGCUCUAAAUUUCCCCCAAUCACUGCUUCAGCUGUAUCCUACAAAUUAUGAUGUAUUGUAUUUUAAUUAUUAUUUAGGUAAAAAUAUAUCCUCAUAUUCUUUGUGAUAUGAUCUAUAAUACAUGAUUAGAGAUGUUUAAUCUCCAAACAUUUGUGGAUUUUUCAAUAUCUGUUAUUAAUUUCUAAUUGAUUCUUUUGUAGUCAGAGGACACAGUCUAUAUUGUUUUAGUGCUUUAAAUUUGUUUAGACUAUAAUCCUGCAUAUAUGUUGCCUUGAUGAGUGUUCCAUGUGCAUCUGAAAAUAAUGUAUAUGUUAUUGUUGUUCCAUGGAGCAUCCUAGAAAUGUUGUUCUGUAAAUAUCUAGAUCAAGUUGGUUGAUACUGCUAUUCCAUUCUUCUAUAUUCUUACUGAGUUUUCUGUUUUACCAACUACUGAGAGAAGAGAUUUGAAAUUCCCAAGUAUUACUGUGGGCUUAUUUCUCUUUUGUCAGCUUUUGCUUCAUGUAUAUUUGAAGCUCUGUAAUUAGAUACAUGCACAUUUAUGAGGCAUUCUUGAUUAAAUACUCUGUUAUCAUCAUAAGAC